rnacentral:rRNA from 1 species
UACAGUGGCGUACGGGUGAGUAACACGUGGAUUAUCUACCCUGGAGUGGGGAAUAACGCUGGGAAACCGGCGCUAAUACCGCAUAUUCCCGAGAGGGGAAAGCAGCAAUGCGCUCGAGGAGGAGUCCGCGGCCGAUUAGCUAGUUGGCAGGGUAAAAGCCUACCAAGGCUAUGAUCGGUAGCCGGCCUGAGAGGGCGCACGGCCACACUGGAACUGAAACACGGUCCAG